GUCUGUCGCUGUCUGCUUUGACACAGCUCUCAGAGUCUCAGGAACACUGGAGGGCGGAUGACUCCUUCUGGAGCUGAACGAUCCCUCCACCGUGAACAGAUUGGAACCGUUUAAUGUCAUCGCACACAACAGGUCCAUGAAAUGCCAAGGCUACCUCAAGGCCUUCGUGUCCAUAAGGAUGCUGAGUGUCCAACACGCCAUCAGUGUUUAGUGCUAUGCUUGUGUUUCUCAACUCCAGGCCUACUUGCCAGCAGACCUGCAUUUAGUGUCUGAAAGGUGUUUGUGAUAACCAUCAUUUUCUGUCAUUUGAUGCAUGUUAAAACAGCCCCCGUAGUUUAGACCUGUAAUAUAUUUUCCCCUCAGAUGUCACAGAGUUUUCAUUAGGCCUGGCGUUGGGUUUGCUCAGGCUCAUUAUAGCCCAAGAUAACCCUUUAAAGACACGCCACAGAGUCUGACCUCGAGGAUUACCUGAAAAACUGAAGUUAACAUCCAUUCUUCAAGAGACAAGAACUUUAUCAACAACAGAGAGGAGCAUAUGUCACUAAGUUUUGCAAGUUGUUUGACUCAAACUGUCAUAUCAGUCACUGAUCUCUGAUUACACUGGGUCUGAAAUUAACGUAAAAGUGAAUUUCUCUGGAUUAAAAGGAGGACCAUGAACUUUUGCCAAAGGGCGUACAGCUCAAACUGCUCGCCUGUUGCCUUGCACAAACCUUCUUGAUGAAUAUGUCACACUUUUCUUUAAUGACAGACCAAAGGCUUGUACCAACCCACCCCUCACAACCAGGCUGAUUGAUCUGGGUAAUAUGAUGCUGUGCGUCUGAAGAUAAAACACAAGCAUGAUGUAUGUAAUGAUCCCACCAAUCCUCACUGCAGACCAGGCAGCUUUUAACCUGAGCACAUAACGUGCCAUUAGGUCCUUCCUAAUGCCCUGCCCUUGUUUGUUUUGAGCAAAGCUAACACUUGACACGCCAACAUUUUGUUUCCAGCAAGACCUAACCCAUCUAGUGACUGAAUGCAAAGCGUUGCUCUGCAGGAGUUACUGUAAUACCACAUCUCAGUGCUGGGAUCAUGGGGCAUCUGUCUGACCAGGACUUCCCACAUAUCAGUAGCAGCACUGGGUCAUCAAGUGGAGAUGGUGACCUGAGAGAAGACUUCAUUAGGUGAACUGGAAGCCAAUUAGUCCCCAGCUGCACAGCAGAGGAGCAUUAGAGUUAGUGGAAGAACACUCGUCACCACAGUCACUGACAGGAACAGCAGGAGACCAGAUGAAGAAUUCAAAGCCUUUUUUCGGGUAUGCUAUGAACUGAUCUCAAACGUGGGAACUCUUCAGUGAUAUCUGUGUUGAAAUCCAUCUCAUGGCUUCCCUAUAUUAUGACUUUAUGUUGCUGUUUCUGUGCAUACCCAUUGUGGAGUAAUUAAUGGUGAUAGAUGUUCUGAAACAGGCCAGUGGAUGUAAAGAAUCAUCCAUGCUGAUUUAGAUAUGACCAGAGACACUCUAGAGCUGUAAGUUUUGGGGGGUUGGGUUUAGAAGACCCCUAGAGAUGGUUUCAGAAAUUAUUCACCACUUUAGGGGGGCAGGGUGUGUGUCUGGACUGGGACUGGCCAGUUCGUCUGAGUGGGGACUAAUGAAAACAAAUGAUCUGACGAGGUCAAAAGGUUGAGAUCAAGGCUGAAGGAUCCUCCGCCCCUCUCAAUUUCCAACUUGGGAGAUUAAUGAGGGCAGAGAACAGCCAUUUCUCUGUAUCAUUUACUCCCUGAGGCCUCUGAACCCCAUGGCCCACCUGUUGGCCUAUUAAGGCCUUGUGACACUCAGCCAGAGGGAAUCACUCCUGACUCGAGGCUGUAUCUGCUCUGUCCUGUUCACAGCAGCACAGACAGUGCAUUGUGUAUUGUGUCAUGUUUCCAUUUUAUACUUUUGACCUUAAAGAGAGCUGUAAUCACAGUUUAUACCA